GGCCCUAGAAGGGCAUUUGGGUCUUCGUUCGCUAGGGUUUCUUAAAACCCUUAGCGCCGCCAUGUGAUUCUCUCUCUUCUCUGUGAAAUUUUCGCCAUUUUUGGCAAAAAUUCAGAGUGUACAGGGGGUUGACAGGGGUGUAUCGCUAUUUUGAGGAAAGGCAUUAAUUGCCUCUUCCUCUUUCAUCCAAUUUUCAAACGAACGAAGCAUAAAAGGAUUGGGCUGAAGCCCAAUUCCAAAUUCAGAUCGAGUCCAGCUUGAAAUCGAAAGGGAAGCAAAUAUUUUGUUGAAGGCCCAGCUAUGGGUGAAAAUAGCCUAAUGGGCCUUUGGUAGCCCAUUAGUAAAGACUUCCUUUUCCCUCUUUUAUUUAUUAUUUGUUUAUUUCAUGUACAAAAUGUAAUUAAACCUUAGUGAAACCCUUAUGAAUGUAGAAUUAGGACAAACGCUUAGCUAAAUAGGGUAAUUAAGCUAAACAGGCACAAAUCCCUUUUAAAUUUUAGCUUAUGAUAAACUGACUUAAAACGAGUUUUUUUGGAUUUAAACAAAGUGAUUUUCAAGACAAAAAGGUAAAUUGGAUUUUAAAGCUAAAGUAAUAUUAACUUGUAACACUGGGUCGUGUUAAAGUUCCUAAAUUUUACGAGGCUGAUUACAUUUUUUUUCCAAGUGGUAUAAAAUUGAAAGGGUUAAGAGGAUCUGGAAUUAGUGUGAUUUGGGCUGGAAAUGACAUUUUUUAUGGAAAAUUUGGGGCCAGAAUGUAGUUGUAUUAUAUCAAUUUUGGGCCUGGAAGUCCACUUGAGAAUGAGAUUAAAAUGUGACA